AUGGAAAAGAGUUUUGCCCUCAGCUUUGACAGACGUGCAUCCUGCCCCGUGGCUCGUCCAGCCCCAGCCCCAAGACAUUCUGGGAGCCCCGAGAACUGCACGGGGCCCGUUGGUGCAGAAACAGCACUCCUCAUCUCCCCACGCCGUCCCUCCUGCAUGUGGACAGGCUCCCGUCACCCUGGCUCCAGUUCCCAUCAGGCCUGGCAAGUCACCUGGACGCUAAUGAAGCUCCACACACAUCCACACAGUUUGAUUUGAUUUCAAUUAGUUCAGUAUUUAUCAUCCACCAAGAAAAAGCUGAUCAAACUGUCUGAG